UGUCGGCCCUCCAAAGGCCGGCGUACCGAAGAGGCUUGUCUUUCUUGCCGGGCGUGCGGAAAGGGAUCAAUCCCCUUCCAAGCGAUGGCUAUGCAGGUCGGAAUCACAUGUCCGUCAGGACAUGCGCGUCCGCGCCUUCAUUAGCCU
rfam:Methylosinus sp. 3S-1 3S1contig39, whole genome shotgun sequence.